rnacentral:rRNA from 1 species
AAGGGACAGCAGCAGCCGCGGUAAUACGUAGGGAGCAAGCGUUGUUCGGAUUUACUGGGCGUAAAGGGCGCGUAGGCGGCGCGGUAAGUCACUUGUGAAAUCUCUGAGCUUAACUCAGAACGGCCAAGUGAUACUGCUGUGCUAGAGUGCGGAAGAGGCAACCGGAAUUCUUGGUGUAGCGGUGAAAUGCGUAGAUAUCAAGAGGAACACCUGAGGCGAAGGCGGGUUGCUGGGCCGACACUGACGCUGAUGCGCGAAAGCCAGGGGAGCAAACGGGAUUAGAUACCCCCGUAGUCCCUGUCUCUUAUAC